CUGCGGAGGAUCAUUACCUUUCAGUACAGAAGAAUUGUGCAGGGACUCCCUCACAGUUCUUCCUGUAUAUCACCCUUGUCUUUUGCGCACUUAUGUUUCCUCGGCAGGCUUGCCUGCCGGUUGGACAAAAAUUACAACCUUUUUAAUUUUCAAUCAGCGUCUGAAAUAAUUUAAUAAUUACAACUUUCAACAACGGAUCUCUUGGUUCUGGCAUCGAUGAAGAACGCAGCGAAAUGCGAUAAGUAGUGUGAAUUGCAGAAUUCAGUGAAUCAUCGAAUCUUUGAACGCACAUUGCGCCCCUUGGUAUUCCAUGGGGCAUGCCUGUUCGAGCGUCAUUUGUACCUUCAAGCUCUGCUUGGUGUUGGGUGUUUGUCCUUUCCCUGCGAUUGGACUCGCCUUAAAGUCAUUGGCAGCCAGUGUUUUGGUUUUGAAGCGCAGCACAAGUCGCGAUUCAAGCCGGUAGCACCAGCUUCCAUCAAGCCUUUUUACCACUUUUGACCUCGGAUCAGGUA
rnacentral:rRNA from 1 species